rfam:Ruminococcus flavefaciens 007c Rf007c_contig00016, whole genome shotgun sequence.
AAACAAGGUAGAGGCGCGGCUGCGAAAAGUACCUGUACACGGGAUUACCUGUCCGAUGGUGUACAGCGAAAGGCAAUGCCGCCGAAGGGCUGUUUCCGGUAAAUUCAGCUCUGGCUGCAUAUUCAAUAGGUAUGCAGUUGUCAUCAUGGUUUGAUGGAGAGCUAUCGGCAUA